UAAAAAAAAAAUAAAAAACGUGCUAUAAGAAGGCGAGAGGAGGUAGUGAGUGGCAGGGCGCCGUGGGGAGCUGAGGCUGAGGGUUUAGCACAACACGGCGAGGAACUCCGCUGCCGGAAUGGCGACGGAGAGCGAGGCGGGGCGAGGCGGAGUGUUGGGGCAAUAUGACUGUGGGUUCCCCGGGUAGAGGCACGGGGGUAUACUCGUAGGGUCAGGGGGCGUGGUUCGGCGGGCCCAAGGGCUCGUCGGUCUAUUAUCUGCGGUGUGAAGGGUUUGACCGCAGCGCCGAGGCCGCCACGUGCAAUGGGACGCGCCGGUGGCGAGAGGAGGGCGUCACGGCAGCGGGAGGCUGUGGGCGGGGGAUCGUCCGCCGCGGAUGACAAAGUUGUUGCGGAAAUGUGUAGUCACGUUGCAUUGCUAAAGUGUUCACCUUGUGGUGCCGGGAGCCGCUGCUUGCUGUGCAGCCUUGUGCUCCAUCUGACGCCGAGAAGCAGGCCGAGCGUAACAGGUUUGUGCGUUCAUUCGUUCAGCAAUAACUGGAUGCGAGUUUUUAUUCAACAUUUCGUGAAAGCGCCGCAGCGUCAAGGUCAGCGGUGUGCCAGAGGGCGGCAGUGAUCCAGAGGCGCCCCAGCCAGCCCUUCACUGCCACAGCAUUGCGCCCCGCGUGACGCCGCCGCCAGGGCACCCAAGUGUGUCGCGGUCACCCACCUGCUGGCCACGCAUCCCCCGGGCCAUAUGUGGGGGUCGUAGCGCGUGCGUGCGGCCGCCUGUGCGGUGCGCGACUUGCUGCAUGCUAGCACGAACAACCGCACCUAACUGUAGGGUCACGCAGGCUGGGGCAUCCUUGCGCCCAGCAUCCGCCGCCCACGUCCAGCAGCAACACCCACCGCCCAGCGGCCGAGAAAGAACGGCCGACAGUCAACAGCGCCAAGUGCCAAGAGUGCCAGCGGUGCCGACCACCACCCGCUGGCACGCUGCACUGUCACGAUGGUCAGGGUGACGAAAAUCACCGUCGGUGCGGCGAGGGACGUGACGUCCUACUCGGCACUAAAGAAAUCCACUACGCUCACCCAGCCACUCAUAAGGGCCUUGUCAGAAGCUAUGACUGACUUACACCUUCAUUAAAUGGUUCCUUAAUGUUCCUUAAUAAAAAUACGUUUCGAAUAUUUUUUAGGCACAGAAAACAAUUACAGCUUUAAACGUGUCCUGUCCCUUAGCCGCGGCCAGGGCGAGGAGCAGGUGUUGUGGGUGAGAAACGGAGUGACAGGAGGUGACAACCUGACGGACACCUGUCCAACGCCCCGCCCAAGCAGCAUCCUACUUCCCUCCAGUCUUCCUGUCGUGAACCUUCAGCUGUCGCCCCAUAUAGCACAGCCCUGCCAACCUGUCAUGACGGCCGCUGCCCUGCCUUGCUGCUGCUACCUCCUUGUAGCCGCCGCUGUUUCUACCACUGAUGGACAGACUUACCUCUUUCCGUUGCGUCGCCGCCGCUUGGUGGCAUACACGGUGCCCAGGGUGUUGAGGGCGUUCAUGUUGGUGGUGGGAGUGUUUUGUUGGCUCAGCAUACUGGCUAACGAAGCAUCCUUGGGCCCCGGGCUGAAUGGGCUUGGCGGCGGCACUGGCACUGCUAGUGUCUGGCCGCUGCGACACUUUCUACACUUUACACUCCAACACACAGCCUCACCUCCCAACACGUGGCUGCGCCCUACACACAGGCGGACACACACUCCACAAGGCCGCUAGGCUUCACCAGGAGGCGUACGGGAGGCCUCGCACCACACAUGCCAUCAACACGCCGCACCGCCGUGCCACUGAACACAAGCUCCACACCACCACCACCGUCUCGCGCACACCGACCAUUCGCUUGUUUUGUUUUUACGCGGCAGGGCUGGUGGCAGAUCUGUGUGAGUGCGUACGUGCGUGUGCCGGCCGUGACGCCGCCCACUCGGCCCGCCAGCCAAUGAGCAGCGGGGGGUCGGGGACGGGCCAGAAGACACCCAGCCCAGCCGAGCAGCGGAGGCCAGCACCAACAUGGCGGCAGGACGGUUGACGCCGUGCAGUUGCCACCGCAAGUCUUGUACUUGUUCGGCCAAAACUUGAGUGAAUUCCCAGUGGAAACUUUGCUGGACGAGUACCGCAAGGCCCGGGGGAUGGCGUGGCUGCUGGCGGCGAGGCGGCAGGGGCGGCGCGAGGCUGCCUGGCCCUGUGUUUGUGUCCCCGCCAGGCAGAUAUGAGCGAGGAGGUGAGUGAGGUGCGGGAGUGGAGCAGGCAGGGCGCGGGCUGUGGGCGGGGUGGCGGCCGGCAAGGUGAGGCCGUGCACGCCCCUCCAUCUGGUGCAUCACAGUCCUCCCGGUGCACGGCGCCGCCUCUCACCUCCCGCCGCCUUCCUUCCUGACCACUCUCCCUCACGCAGGGACGCGGCAUGACGGAGCUUUUUCACGGCGGCGGCAACUCCGCGGCAGAGCGCUCCACCACGCCGCCACCCCCGCCGCUGCGGCCGCCACGCCAGGCCGAGCGGUGGGCCUGUGGCCGCCCGCCUCAUGCUGGGCGCCGCGCCGCACCGCCCGCCCUUCCUGGAAAACGAGAGACGGUGCAUCGCUGAAACUUAGCAUCCUUAUUAAAAUAUU